UUAAGCGACUAAGCGUACACGGUGGAUGCCCUGGCAGUCAGAGGCGAUGAAGGACGUGCUAAUCUGCGAUAAGCGUCGGUAAGGUGAUAUGAACCGUUAUAACCGGCGAUUUCCGAAUGGGGAAAACCCAGUGUGUUUCGACACACUAUCAUUAACUGAAUCCAUAGGUUAAUGAGGCGAACGGGGGAACUGAAACAUCUAAGUACCCCGAGGAAAAGAAAUCAACCGAGAUUCCCCCAGUAGCGGCGAGCGAACGGGGAGGAGCCCAGAGCCUGAAUCAGUGUGUGUGUUAGUGGAAGCGUCUGGAAAGGCGCGCGAUACAGGGUGACAGCCCCGUACACAAAAAUGCACAUGCUGUGAGCUCGAUGAGUAGGGCGGGACACGUGGUAUCCUGUCUGAAUAUGGGGGGACCAUCCUCCAAGGCUAAAUACUCCUGACUGACCGAUAGUGAACCAGUACCGUGAGGGAAAGGCGAAAAGAACCCCGGCGAGGGGAGUGAAAAAGAACCUGAAACCGUGUACGUACAAGCAGUGGGAGCCUCUUUUAUGGGGUGACUGCGUACCUUUUGUAUAAUGGGUCAGCGACUUAUAUUCUGUAGCAAGGUUAACCGAAUAGGGGAGCCGAAGGGAAACCGAGUCUUAACUGGGCGUUAAGUUGCAGGGUAUAGACCCGAAACCCGGUGAUCUAGCCAUGGGCAGGUUGAAGGUUGGGUAACACUAACUGGAGGACCGAACCGACUAAUGUUGAAAAAUUAGCGGAUGACUUGUGGCUGGGGGUGAAAGGCCAAUCAAACCGGGAGAUAGCUGGUUCUCCCCGAAAGCUAUUUAGGUAGCGCCUCGUGAAUUCAUCUCCGGGGGUAGAGCACUGUUUCGGCAAGGGGGUCAUCCCGACUUACCAACCCGAUGCAAACUGCGAAUACCGGAGAAUGUUAUCACGGGAGACACACGGCGGGUGCUAACGUCCGUCGUGAAGAGGGAAACAACCCAGACCGCCAGCUAAGGUCCCAAAGUCAUGGUUAAGUGGGAAACGAUGUGGGAAGGCCCAGACAGCCAGGAUGUUGGCUUAGAAGCAGCCAUCAUUUAAAGAAAGCGUAAUAGCUCACUGGUCGAGUCGGCCUGCGCGGAAGAUGUAACGGGGCUAAACCAUGCACCGAAGCUGCGGCAGCGACGCUGAUGCGUUGUUGGGUAGGGGAGCGUUCUGUAAGCCUGUGAAGGUGUGCUGUGAGGCAUGCUGGAGGUAUCAGAAGUGCGAAUGCUGACAUAAGUAACGAUAAAGCGGGUGAAAAGCCCGCUCGCCGGAAGACCAAGGGUUCCUGUCCAACGUUAAUCGGGGCAGGGUGAGUCGACCCCUAAGGCGAGGCCGAAAGGCGUAGUCGAUGGGAAACAGGUUAAUAUUCCUGUACUUGGUGUUACUGCGAAGGGGGGACGGAGAAGGCUAUGUUGGCCGGGCGACGGUUGUCCCGGUUUAAGCGUGUAGGCUGGUUUUCCAGGCAAAUCCGGAAAAUCAAGGCUGAGGCGUGAUGACGAGGCACUACGGUGCUGAAGCAACAAAUGCCCUGCUUCCAGGAAAAUCCUCUAAGCAUCAGGUAACAUCAAAUCGUACCCCAAACCGACACAGGUGGUCAGGUAGAGAAUACCAAGGCGCUUGAGAGAACUCGGGUGAAGGAACUAGGCAAAAUGGUGCCGUAACUUCGGGAGAAGGCACGCUGAUAUGUAGGUGAAGCGACUUGCUCGUGGAGCUGAAAUCAGUCGAAGAUACCAGCUGGCUGCAACUGUUUAUUAAAAACACAGCACUGUGCAAACACGAAAGUGGACGUAUACGGUGUGACGCCUGCCCGGUGCCGGAAGGUUAAUUGAUGGGGUCAGCGCAAGCGAAGCUCUUGAUCGAAGCCCCGGUAAACGGCGGCCGUAACUAUAACGGUCCUAAGGUAGCGAAAUUCCUUGUCGGGUAAGUUCCGACCUGCACGAAUGGCGUAAUGAUGGCCAGGCUGUCUCCACCCGAGACUCAGUGAAAUUGAACUCGCUGUGAAGAUGCAGUGUACCCGCGGCAAGACGGAAAGACCCCGUGAACCUUUACUAUAGCUUGACACUGAACAUUGAGCCUUGAUGUGUAGGAUAGGUGGGAGGCUUAGAAGUGUGGACGCCAGUCUGCAUGGAGCCGACCUUGAAAUACCACCCUUUAAUGUUUGAUGUUCUAACGUUGACCCGUAAUCCGGGUUGCGGACAGUGUCUGGUGGGUAGUUUGACUGGGGCGGUCUCCUCCUAAAGAGUAACGGAGGAGCACGAAGGUUGGCUAAUCCUGGUCGGACAUCAGGAGGUUAGUGCAAUGGCAUAAGCCAGCUUGACUGCGAGCGUGACGGCGCGAGCAGGUGCGAAAGCAGGUCAUAGUGAUCCGGUGGUUCUGAAUGGAAGGGCCAUCGCUCAACGGAUAAAAGGUACUCCGGGGAUAACAGGCUGAUACCGCCCAAGAGUUCAUAUCGACGGCGGUGUUUGGCACCUCGAUGUCGGCUCAUCACAUCCUGGGGCUGAAGUAGGUCCCAAGGGUAUGGCUGUUCGCCAUUUAAAGUGGUACGCGAGCUGGGUUUAGAACGUCGUGAGACAGUUCGGUCCCUAUCUGCCGUGGGCGCUGGAGAACUGAGGGGGGCUGCUCCUAGUACGAGAGGACCGGAGUGGACGCAUCACUGGUGUUCGGGUUGUCAUGCCAAUGGCACUGCCCGGUAGCUAAAUGCGGAAGAGAUAAGUGCUGAAAGCAUCUAAGCACGAAACUUGCCCCGAGAUGAGUUCUCCCUGACCCUUUAAGGGUCCUGAAGGAACGUUGAAGACGACGACGUUGAUAGGCCGGGUGUGUAAGCGCAGCGAUGCGUUGAGCUAACCGGUACUAAUGAACCGUGAGGCUUAACCUU
rnacentral:rRNA from 1 species